rnacentral:rRNA from 1 species
ACGAACGCUGGCGGCGUGCUUAACCCCUGCAAGUCGCACGGAAAGACCCUGCUUUUGUGGGGUGCUCGAGUGGCGAACGGGUGAGUAACACGUGAGUAACCUGCCCUUGACUUUGGGAUAACUUCAGGAAACUGGGGCUAAUACCGGAUAGGAGCUCCUGCUGCAUGGUGGGGGUUGGAAAGUUUCGGCGGUUGGGGAUGGACUCGCGGCUUAUCAGCUUGUUGGUGGGGUAGUGGCUUACCAAGGCUUUGACGGGUAGCCGGCCUGAGAGGGUGACCGGCCACAUUGGGACUGAGAUACGGCCCAGACUCCUACGGGAGGCAGCAGUGGGGAAUAUUGCACAAUGGGCGGAAGCCUGAUGCAGCAACGCCGCGUGCGGGAUGACGGCCUUCGGGUUGUAAACCGCUUUCGCCUGUGACGAAGCGUGAGUGACGGUAAUGGGUAAAGAAGCACCGGCUAACUACGUG